rnacentral:lncRNA from 1 species
GGGUUAGGGUAUGGAUUCAAAAAGGAAAACAAGGGGCUUUUGGUUUAGAGUCAAUGUUACAUCCUGUGUUUGUUUCUUUUAUUUCCUCGGUUUUCUUUUCUUGAAUUUUUACCGACUUCCCUUUUCCACGCUUCUUUCUUUUGAAUCCUCGAGUAUUUGAUUUUUAUUUUUCUUUCUUUUUCUCGAUUCAUCAAUUUUUUCUUUUUCUUUUGUUUUUGCACUUUCUAGGGCUUUGAGAGCUUUUGGGGUUUUUAC